GAGAAACGAUGAAUAUCAUUUGGUCCGUGUUUCUGAAUUUACCAUGACCGAUACCAAUUAACCAUUUCUGAUCUC
rfam:Spinacia oleracea cultivar SynViroflay scaffold6213.con0003.1, whole genome shotgun sequence.